rnacentral:rRNA from 1 species
CUACGGAGGGUGCGAGCGUUACUCGGAGUCACUGGGCGUAAAGCGUCCGUAGGCGGUCGGGUAAGUCGGGUGUGAAAGCCCCGGGCUCAACCUGGGAAGUGCACCCGACACUGCUCGACUCGAGUGCGGGAGAGGAUGGCGGAAUUCCCGGUGUAGCGGUGAAAUGCGUAGAGAUCGGGAGGAACACCAGUGGCGAAGGCGGCCAUCUGGCCCGCAACUGACGCUGAGGGACGAAAGCGUGGGGAGCAAACAGGAUUAGAAACCCCAGUAGUCC